GACUUUUCCUCUCUAGCUAUGAAAGCCUUAGAUGGCAUCUUCUUCUAAUGGAAGGUUGUUUUGUCUACAUUGGAAAUCUGUUGUUAGUGUGACCACCUUCAUCAGUGAUCUUAGCUAGAUCCUCUGGAUAACUUGCUGCAGCUUUUCUACAUCAGCACUUGUUGCUUCACUGUGCACUUUUAUGUUCUGGAGGUGGCUUCUUUCACUAAACCUCAGGAACCAACCUCAGCUAGCUACUGACUUUUGUUUUGCAGCUUUGUCAUCUCUCUCAGUCUUCAUAGAACUGAAGAAAGUUAGAACCUUGCUCUGGAUUAGGCUUUGGAUGGAGAGAAUGUUGUUGCUGGUUUGACCGCCUAUUCAGACUACUAAAACUUUCUUCAUAUCAGCAAUAAGGCUGUUUUGCGUUCUUACCACUGGUAUGUUCAUUGGAAUAGCUCUUUCAAUUUGCUUCAAGAACUUUUCCUUUCCAUUUAUAAUUGGCUGACUGCUCCAAGAGGCCUAGCUUUUGGCCUAUCUUGACUCUUGACAUGCCUUUCUUGUUGGGCUUAAUCAUUUCCAGCUUUUGAUUUAAAGUGGAAGAUGUGUAACUCUUGCUUUCACUUAGACACUUAGAGGCCAUUGUAGAAUUAUUAAUUGGCCUUUAUUGUCUUAUAUGGGUGCAGUCCAUGGCACUCCAAAACAAAUACAAUAGUAAUAUCAAAGAUCACUGGUUACAGAUCAUCAUAACAGAUAUAAUAAUAAUGAGAACAUUUGAAAUAUUGUGGGAAUUACUAGAAUGUGACACAUAUAAGCACAUGCUAUUGGAAAAAUGGUGCUGAUAGACUUGCUCAACACAGGGUUACCACAAACCUUCAAUUUGUAGAAAAUGCAAUAUCUACAAAGCUCAAAAAAAAAAAGCACAAUAAAAUGAGGUAUGCCCAUAUGCCAAAGGCACUGAUUUAUUUGAGAAGUCCCCCAUUUUGGGACUUGUAUAUGUUUCAGCCACCAUCUUUGUGCAUACAUCUUUCUCCAUAGUAAAAAUUCUUAGGUUUAAGAUUUCAAGAUUAAAGAUAUGCACAUUUCAAAGAUUUUGGAUACAUACUACCCAAUUUCCCUCUGGAAAAAUUAUGCCUAUUUACACUAUCAGUGUUUGAGGGCACACAUGGAUCAUCCAUUUUAGGUUAUAUACUUUGCCAUACAUCUAGUAAUUCCAACCUAUUGGUCACAUUAUUAAAGUUCUCUAACAUUAAGUUUUAUCUACUUGGUUUAGCAGAUUGAUUGAAGGUAUGUCAAAAUAUCUUACUAUUGUCUUUCUGCUUACGUUUAUAUUACUAACAGUGUAUGCUAUUUGCACAGAAAGUAUAAUGGCUGUUAUAGCUUCAGGUUAUCAAUAUUAAAUUGCCCUAUAUAUUCUAUGUAAUGUGUUUUGGCUUGAAUUUUUUACAUAUAGGUGUUCAGUAAAUGUUGCUGAAGUAAUGAAUGUCACUGCCUAGUGGAGUUCUUGACAUGAGGUACACUUGAAAUAAAUCUUGCCUGCCUUUCAGAAUACCUUGCCAUUAUGAGACUGGGCUGUCUCCUCUCAUAAUUGUCUCUUUGAAAACUGCCCUCAUUUCAAACAUGAUUUUCUAAUUCUCAUAUGAGUGGUUCCUCUUCUCUUGUAUUCUUUUAUCCUAUUUAUUAUUAGUCUCUUUUAUCUGACCAAAAGGUGAGAUAAGACUAACCUCCAUCUUGCUCUCCCAGCCUGGAAUCUGAGGCUUUGGUGGCUGCUUAGAAACCAGGAAUAAAGGCCCUGUAGCGGCAGGUCUUCUAAUGUAUUGUGCAUGAAAACGACGCCGGGAGCUUGUUAAAGUUGAGUCCUGGGCCUUCUGAUUACAUAAUGUGAUUCAAUAGGUUGAGAGUUAGGCCCUUGAAUCUGUAUUUUUAUUUUUUAUUUAUUUAUUUAUUUUUUUGAGACAGCGUUUCACUCUUGUUGCCCAGGCUGGAGUGCAAUGGUGUGAUCUUGGCUCACCACAACCUCCGCCUCCCGGAUUCAAGUGAUUCUCCUGCCUCAGCCUCCCGAGUAGCUGAGAUUACAGGCAUGCGCCUCCAAGCCCAGCUAAUUUUUGUAUUUUUAGUAGAGACAGGAUUUCUCCAUGUUGGUCAGGUUGGUCUUGAACUCCCGACCUCAGGUGAUCCUCCCGCCUCAGUCCCCCAAAGUACUGGGAUUACAGGCUUGAGCCACCGCGCCUGGCCUUGAAGCUGUAUUUCUAAAAUACCUCCUGAAAUGCUUCAUUUGUUGCAAGUGAGCUUCAGAUAAGACUUUCAGAAGCACUGUCCUUGGGACCUUCCUAACUUCUCACACUAUUUGGGCAUUUCAGAGCUACUAGAGCUCAGUAGUUCAGUGUUGGUGGCUUUCCCCCUUCAUUGAUAUGCCAGAAGGCUUAUAUGUGUUAAUUUACAAAUGCAACUUUAAUCUACAAAACGAAAAUUAAUUUCUGAAUCACUAAUUAGGAGUUGUAGAAUGUGCCCUUAGACACCAACAGCUCUAGGGACUCGCUCUUCCCCAUUAGUAAGCCCCAGCCAAGGGUGUUCCCCUUCAUUGUGUCUAGAUAAAGUAUUGGUUUCAAAGGCCAAAUAGGAGCCCAGGGAAUUUGAUUCUGCAGCAGGAAUUUCUAAAAUGCAAGAUACUAAUAAUGAACCCAUAAGUUUUAAUUGAAAAAUUAGAGCAAUUUUUCGAAUUGCUCUAAUGCCAUGUGCCACCUUAGAGAGAAAUGGCCAGUUCAAUAUUCAAAGCUGGUUGGGGGAGGGAGGGAUGAGGAAGAAGCAAAGAAACAAAUCAAAGAAGAUCUCUCCCAUGUAGUAUGCCCAAUUCUUGGGUGGGGGGGAGUGAAGGGGAUGUGGAGAGACUUGCACACCUGGAGAGAAAAGGAGAGAGAGAACCAGGAUGCAAAGCAGCUGACGCCAAAUGGCGAGUCUUGCGGAUAUUCUCUGAUCCCCACUCCAGGCAUCUUCUAUAUCACAUGGUGAACCUUUAAUUAGUGUAACGGAGACACACAUCUUACUUUUGCAGAGAGCAUGCAUCACAGUUACUCACAGACAUGAGUUGAGAAACACUGCACAGUGAUUACAUGUUUUUGAAUUGGUCUUCCACAUUGAAAAGUUGAAAUAUCACAUAAAAAUCCAGGUUGCUAGCUUCCCCUAAAAAAUGGGAAGAUCUACCAAACUAGAUCCUGUUUCCAACUUGAGAUUUCAGUGGGAGCCGAGGAUCACCUGCCCUAAGAGAGGCUUCUUAGGUUGCUAUGAUCUCUACCACUCCGUCUGUCCAUUUGAGUUCCCCAACCACUACUUCACCUAUCAGGCCCCUGAAGCUUUUGGUCUUACACGUAAUAUUUAAAAGCUGACUCCUGUGUCAGCUGACCUCUCCUUCACAUCUCAUUUAAAGAAAGGUAAUUUCUCACUGUCAUGGAGAGGACUCUAUCUUCCAGCCACUGUCCCUCUGGAAAAAGUUAGGGGGACAGAGAGUGUUCACAGGUAGCCCUUGGUCACCUAGCAGAGAUGUCCAUUGAUCCCCUCCUCUACAGCCCCAGUGGGUGACAGUUACAUCUUAUCCAAUAAUAAUCUACAGCUAGGGUGACCUCCAGCUCGGGUGACCAACUCAUCCAAGUUUGCCCAAGAUGGAUUUAGGCACUAAAAAUCUCAUAUCCUGGAAACUCUCUUUCCACCCAGGCCCAAGCAAGAGCAAGAUGGGAUAGUUGGUCAGCUUAUCUUCACCUGGGUAAAGGGGCUCUGGCAUUGGACACUGUGGGCAUCUGGCUCUGGAGCAGACUUUUGGGCUCGGAAAGUUCAAAGGGUUGUGAGGAGAAGUUAUAGGCAGCCUGCAAUAGUGGGCAUCUGGCUCUGGAGCAGACUUUUGGGCUCGGAAAGUUCAAAGGGUUGUGAGGAGAAGUUAUAGGCAGCCUGCAAUAAGAACUCUUAUAUGCUGGCAGACAGGGGAGCAAUUUAAGAUGUAACAUGUCUUGGGCUUGGAAAAUUAAACAAAUUAGACCACUUCUCACCCUGCUCUGUAUAUCUAAUACAGCUGAAUAAGGAUUUAAUGAUUGAGAGUGGCCAGUCAUCUAACCUGGCCUAGGACUGUUGGCUUGUGCCUCCUAUCUGACCGGGCACUCAUGAGAGCUGUCAUCUGUCUACCUGGCCUCCUGGGUCCAAAGGAGGUUGUCUUUUCCUAUAAUCAUAAGGGUGAUAAAUAGAGAUUUUUAAUUAGUUUAAAUUAUCUAGGCUCAAGAUCCCUUUCAUAACACUUAUGUCCAUAUUUUGACUCAAACAUUUGCCUUUCAAAUGUUUCCAGGGCUAUUUAUGAAAGUGAGGAUUGGCCUGUACCAGCUUCUGUAAUGCAGAGACAUAGUUAGGCAUAUUAUAAAUCCGUGACUUUAUCCAUCUAUGAGUUUCAUUUUGUGCUUUUUCUUACAUUUGUUGUCAGUCUUAAAAUUACUCUGUGAUUUUUAUGUGAAACACUUUUAAAAUCUAGACAAGUAUAAAGAGUAAAACAAUGUAUUAUUUCCCACAUAAACUCAUUUUUAUUGACUUUAUAGAAAUAAUUUGUAUCUUCUUUUUUCAUUUAAGGUAAUUUCAUAAACAAGGAUAAUAUUAAGAAAUAUUUAAUGGCUGGGAGGACAUAAGCACAGACCCAAUGGGGAUGAGGUCCAUGCCAGGCUGGCUGUGGGGUAGAGGGGGUCCUGGAGUCCCAGGCUCUAGCAGGCCUGUACCCUUUAGAUUGUAGGGUUGUAGGUAAGUUUGAGAGGCAGGGGAGGUUCCAGACAGGCAGAAGAGCAGAGGUGCACUCAGGUCCACAGGCUAUUAACCAGGACCAAGACCUUUAAAAAUCUUUGUCAGCAUGAAAUGUACAUAGAUAUAGUACAUUAUAGGUAUAGGUAUGUAUGUGUGUGUAAUACAUGCACAUAGUUUUAAAUUAAAAAUCAAAUGCUGCCAAAUAGCUACUAGAAGCUAUUACUCUCGAUUUUUUUCUUCGAAUAUUUUCCUCCAUAUUAUUCACAUACACACCCACAUAUACAUAUAUAUCCACAUAUAUCACCCGCAGUAACAGGAAGUUGAUAAAUACCUAGAUAUAUACACACAUGAACACAUAUGUACAUAUAUAUGCACACAUAUGUGUGUGUCUAGGUGUUAUUUAUUGACUCUUAUUGCAGGCAGAGUGUUUUGUUAGUUUAUUUGCUUUUAUGUCUUUUCUUUUUCCCACUCCCUCAUCCUCCUGAUAUGAUUACAUGACAGUUUUGGUUCAAUGUGUACUCAGUGGUUUUAUCAUUUUGACUAUGCAAAUAGUGCUUACUGCCAAAUGAAAUUGAAUGCUGUGAUUACAUUUUCUUUCUUAGAGAGGCAGUUCAGAGCCUAACAGGCUGCUUGAAUCCCAUUCUGGCACCUCAGGCCAAUCUUUCUAUUUUUUCCCACCUGAAUAACGGAGAUAUCAAUAGUACCAACUUGCUAAGGUGAUAUUUACAAUUAAAUGAGUUGAUAUGUGUAAAAUGGCUUAGAACAUUAAGUCAUGUGAUGGAAGUAGUCAGUAAAAUAUAAAAAAAAGCAAUGAUUAUUACUACCUUUUUUCUUUAUCUUGGAGUUAAAGUUGCCUCAUUGACAUUUUUUCUUCAUUUCUUUUAAUCUCUUAGUCUUCUGACACCCUUCAACAAUUACAUAAAACACCUCUUACUACAAUGUUCUUCACGUUCAAAUCUAUCAGGUAGCAGAUCACAGUUGGGAAAUUUAUAAGGACUAGUGGUGAUUAUGAUAAACGGAAAGAGAUAGCCAUCCAGAGUUCCUCUGUCCACACAAUGUUAUUAAGACAGGCUUCCCUUUUGCCUGCUGCACAGCUGACCUGUGGGAGCUACCUUGCCAUCAUCCUUGGAUUUUGCUUGCCUCCCUCCUGUUAGAGACCUUUGCUUCCUGAACUCUGUGCUUUUCUCUUACUAUAAAUCCUAGCUUUGGUACAAAACAGCCUCUUGUAGUUUCUUGAGAGGAUUUCAAUGAAGAUAAAUGUAGGUAUAUUUCUUGAAAUUUUGCUGGCCAAAAAAAUACCACUACUCUACUCUUCUGUAUGAUUGAUAGUUUGGCUGGAUAUAGAAUUCUAGGUUGAAGAUCCUUUUCUCUCAGAUUUUCCGAGGCAUUUUUGUCUUCUAGCAUCCAGUGUUGUUGUUGAGAAAAUCUGCUGCCUUCUUGUUUCAGGCCUUUGCCUGAGACAUGAUUUUUCUCUCUGGAAAUAUUUAGGAUCUUUAUCUCCAGAGUGUUCUGAAAUGUCAUGAUUAUGUUGGUGUGGGUCUCUUCCCUACAUACCCCUCCCAUGCAUUAUGGUGGCCAUGAGGGCCCAGGAAUCUGGAAACAAAUAUCGUUUAGUUCUGGAAAAUGUCCUUGCAUGUUUUACUCCUUGAUCAUUUCCUUUUCCACUAAUUUACUUAUUCUUCCUUUUGGAAACCUAUUAAUUGAAUGUUGGCCUUCCCAAACAGAUUCCAGGAUUUCCAUAUAUUUCUCACCUUUUUCUUCUACUUUCCAGGGGAUAUCCACAGUUUUAUCUUUCAAGCAUUUUACUGAAUGUUUUCUUAGCUAUCCUAUUUUAAUUUCCAAAAUGACAGUCUCACUCAUUAGCAGCAUGACAUUUCACUUUAUAAACAGAACAUAAUUUACUUAAAUCAUCUCUUUAUAUUGCAUAUGUAGACUGCUUACAGAUCAUGAUGCAAUAAACAUGCCUGUGUCAUAUCUCUGAUUCAAUACAAUUUUCCAAAACUGCACUUACUGAAACAAAAAUAAGCAUAUUUUGAAGUUGUUAAUACAUAGCAUGUUACCAAAAUGUUUUCCCAAAAUUUGCAUGCAUCUGUAUCACCAUGCGGACAGCAGUAUUAUCAUUUAUUUUAAUAUUUGAUAAUAUGAUAGAUGAAAUUUCAUCAUUGAUGUUGAUGUUUUGUUUUGAUUUAUUUCAUUGCUGUGGAGAUUAAACUGUUUCUUGGAUUCAUUGUGUGUUUUUGUUCUUUUUGCACCUAUUUAUUGCAUUUUGAUAUUUUUCAUAGAUUUGCUUGAAGUGUUAAAUAUGAGGCAUGUUAAUAUUUUGUUGGAAACAUUUGAUUCAAGUGUCUCAAAGCUUUAUGCAUUUUAUUUUGAUAUUAUUUUAUAAUAUUCACUAAAUUUUAUUUUUUAUCAUCAAAUUUAUCAAUAUUUUUUCUGCUAUGUAAAUAUAAUAAUCAAAACCAAAGAAGAAAGACAAGGAAGAAAAAGUAAUUGCCACAAAGACAUAAUAAAUAUUUACAAAGUAAUAUUCUUACUGUCUAGAGAUUAUAUUCAAGUCAAUAAGGAAAAUUCUGCACCACCAUUGGAAAACUUGAGCAUAAGAAAACUUACAGGAAAGACAAGUAGUUAAUAAGUAUCUGAAGUACAUUUUCAGCCUCAUUAGUCAUCUAAGGAGAGUCAAUGAAAAUGUAACACUAAUUUUUGCCCAUGAAAUUAGAAAAGAUUUUAAAAAUAAUAAUAUUGGCUAAGAGUGAGGUGAGGUUGGAAUUCUCAUGCUAAUAGGCAUGUAAAUGGAUUUAACCUUUCUGAAAUUAAUUUUAUAAUAUACAUCUAAAAUCUUAAAAAAUCCCAUAGCUUUUUGCAUAGUAAUUACACUUUCCUAACUCUAUUCCAAGUAAAUAAUUAGAUGAGAGCACAGCGAACACAAAGCUACUUACCACAGAAUCAUUUAUGACCAAAUAAAUUAAAACAUCAUAAAUUUCCAGCACCAGAGGAAUGGUUUAAAAAUCCAUGGCACAUAUGAUAUAAUAUUGUUCCACCAUUAAUAUGAUAUUCACAGAGAACUUUAAGUGUUAUGGAAAUACUUAUAAUGUUUAGUAAAAAAGGAACGUAAAGCUAUAUCACAGUAAGAUCUCAACCAUCUAAUAUGUAAAUAUAAUUAUAGGAUUAGUCAUGUGUGUGUGUGUGAUCCUGAUCUUCAGUGUAUGGAGACAGAUAUUUAGAGAAAGAGGGAGAAAUACUGACUACCACAAAGUUAUUGAAUUAAGUGUGAUUUUUCUUUCUUUUUGUACUUCUACUUUUCUAAAAUGUGCAUGUAAAAUGCCUUUAGAAAAGAUUAAAUGUAUGGCUUCCUAUUUUUCCUAACAAGUCUACUAAAAGAGAACUUACUAUGUCAAAAUAAUUCAUUUUUCUUAGAAAGCUGUUAAGAAUUUUGUUAGUUUUUAAAUAUUAAAAUUAGAUUUUCCUAAAGCUCCUAAUCAUUUUAAUGUCUUCUCCUUUGAUCCAUCCAGAAUGCAUCUUAUAUCUCUUCUAUAUAGCAGUUAUUAGCUAUUACUCCUUUCUAGGAUUUCAUCCUUUUAAGAGCAGUUUUUUCCUGCUGUAGCUCCUGUGCCUAUAAAGACAUCUGACACGAACUGAUCAUACAGCAAAUAUUUGUUGAAUGAAUUAAACAUAACCUAGGUCUUCCAUAUCUUAGGUGUGUUUUUCAGUCUAUCUCUCUUGGUUAAACUUUAUUUCCAUUUGUCAAUAUUCUUAAGUUGUGACUUCGAAGAGAUUAAAUGUGGUCUAAUGUAUACAUACACACACGUAUAUAUAUACAUAUCUAAGAUAUGUAUAUCUAGAUAAUAUAUCAUGAACACCACCUGGGAUUGCAUUAAUUUAUUUGGCAGUCAUAUCACACUACAGGCUAAUAUUGGCCUCUCUGAAUGCUAAAACUGCUAUGUCUUUCAUGGAUGUGUCUAUCCACUCAUAACUCUCCACACUUGCAUUUGUUCAGUUGUUUGUGGGGCUUUUUUGGACCAUGUAAAAGACCUUACAUAAAUCCUCAUUAAAUUAAACUUUUUAGAUAUAAAUGCAAAUGGUUUUAGAUAAUGAUUUUGUCUUUUAUGUAUUCAUGUCUCUUUGUAGCUUCAUAUCAUACACAAAUUUAACGAGCAAGCCCUCUAUGUCCUCAUCUAAGCUAUGGGCAGCUUUCUAUAGUUAUAAGAAAAGUAUUCCUAAGCUGUAGUUGAGUCAUUUGUCAUUUGGAGCAAAUUUUCUCAAUAAAUUACAAAUCCCUAUAUUGUCUAUGCUAUACUUUUCCAUUUUAUCCACUACAAACAAUAUCACAGGAGAUCAUGGCAUAACUCUUGCUGUGCCUGACAUGUACAAUUACUGCAUAGCGAUGGAGGAUGCAAUCCAGUUUAUCUCAAUCGUCAGUCUCUCCCUUUUCAGGAAUAAAAUAUUCUUGGAAAAUCACAUUCUAAUUCCAUUUUAAGGAAGAUAACUAUUUUCCUGGUUUCUCCACAAUCUGCCCAUUAGCCCCAGUCUUCAGUCCCGAUCUUCCGUGGAGGUGGCACUCUGUUUUAUUAUCUCCUUUGGGCAUCUCCUGCCAAAUCGGCUCUCAAAAUAUUGGGUUCUCUAGGGCUCUUUCUACAAGCUUCAUUCUUUUCUUUUCCUUCACACCCCAAAUUUAAUUUAGCGGUAACCCCCUUCGGGUCACCUUCAAAAUACAUUACAAAUAUGACCAUUGAAUACCACUACACUGUUAUGACUCUGGGUCAAACCACCUCUUCCCCCAUCUGAAGAAACACAGCAGCCUCAUAAGCAGUCUCCUAGAUGCUCUCUUACCACUCCAACCCCAAGUUCAUCAGCCACACAGUGGCAAUGAGAUAAAAUUUUAUUUUCUGCAUAAAAGAAAAAUCUAAAGUCCUUACCAUGUCCUGCAAAGCCCCACAUGAUUUGUCCCUAUUAAUAAAAAAAUUACCUUCCUACCCUCCUCCCUCUUGUCCCAUGCUCUAGUUAGAGAGAUCUUCUCUCUACUCCUCAACUCUACUAAGCAUCUUUUCCUUCUCAGGACUUUUGCCCUUGUGUUUCUUUCUGCUUAGAGCACUCUGACUAUGGAGGCAGGCAUUACUGGAUGGUUUGGAGUUAGGCCUUCACUUUAUUUGUUCCAUUUUGGGAAUUGUCUCUUUCAACCCAUACUUACUACAGUGUUAUCUGAUAUGUACUCUUAGUACAAAACAUAGUAUCUGGAAGAUUGUCUUAUCCAGCACAUUCUGAUUCCUGAUGUUAUAGAAUGAUUGUUUCUCCCAAAUGUGUAGGUUGAAGGCUAACUCCCGAUGUAGCUGUAUUUGGAGAAAGGGCCCUUGAGAUAAUUCAUGUUAAAUGAGAUCAUGUGGGUAAGGGUUUAAAUCAAAUGUGAAUGGUGUCCCUUAAAAAAAAAAAAAAAAAAGGAAGGGACAUCAAAGAAAAGACCAUAUGAGGACAUAGCAAGAAGGCAGCUAUUUGCAAGCCAAAGGGAGAGACCUCAGGAGAAACCAAAACUGACACCUUGAGCUUGGACUUCCAGCCUCUAGAACUGUAGGAAAUAAAUUUCUCUCAUUUAAGUCACCCAGUCUGUGGUAUUUUGUUAUGACAGCCUUAGAAGACUAAUACACCUGGCUAAUAUUUUUAUUUUUAUUCUAGGGUUCUUAGGGUCUAAAUGUGUGCAUACACUCAGAAUAAACCAGUAUUAUAAAAAUUACUCAUGGUUAAAAGACAUGUUUAUAAAUAUUAAGAAUAUAUGUACCCACAGGAAAAAAAACACUAAAACAGUCCUUAUUUCUACAUUUCUCUGUGAUAUUUUCACCACUUUUCUAAAGCUUUCAGCAGGUUGUAGAUAGAAGCUUCCACCCACUAAUUUGCCAGCUGUUGAAGAGCACCUUCUGUCUUAGUCCAUUUUCUGUUGCUAUAAUAGAAUACCACAGACAGAAUAGCUUAUAAAGAAAGGAAGUUUAUUUAGUUUAAAGUUCUGGAGGCUGGAGAGUCCAAGAGCAUAGCACUGGCAUCUGAUGAGGGCCUUCUUGCUGUGUCAUAACAUGGCACAGGGCAUCAUAUGGCAAGAGGGCAAGAAGAAGAAAGUCAGAGAGAGCCCACUUUUGAAACAAAACUACUCUCUCAAUAAGGAACCCACUUCUGUGAUAGUGACAUUAAUUUAUUCAUGAGAGAAGAAUCCUCAUUAAUCUGUUAAACUAUUCAUAAGGUAGAGGGAUUAAAUUUCCAACACAUGAACUUUUAGGAGACACAUUCAUGCCAUAGCACUUUUCUACAAGUCAGACACAUAGGGAUGCUUCUCCUGCUUCUCUGCACCAUCUUGCUGCAAACCUGUCGUCAUCUCUCCACCAGCUGCCUCCCUCUAUUUUUCUUGCUUGCUUUAUCCUUCCUUUUCCCUUUUUCUCUAUCCCUAAGCUGGCUGGGUGUGGUAGGCUGAAUAAUGGUCUCCCAAAGAUGUUUAUACUCAAAUUCCCAGAAUCUAUGAAAUGUUUUGUUACAUUUAAAAGAAAAGAAGGCUGGGCACGGUGGCUUAUGCCUGUAAUCCCAGCACUUUAGGAGGCCGAGGCAGGUGGAUCACCCGAGGUCAGGAGUUCCAGACCAGCCUGGCCAGCAUGGUGAAACCCCGUCGCUACUAAAAAUACAAAAAUUAGCCAGGUGUGGUGGUGCACGCCUGCAGUCCCAGCUAUUCGGGAGGCUGAGACAUGAGAAUCGCUUGAACUCAGGAGACGGAGGUGGCAGUGAGUGGAGAUCGCGCCACUGCACUCCAGCCUGGGGGAUAGAGACUCUGUCUCAAAAAAAAAAAAAAAAAAAGGAAAAAGAAAAGAAAAGAACAGAACUUUGCAAGUGUGAUUAAAUCAAGUAUCUUGAGAUGAAGAGAUUCUGGAUUAUCUGAAUGGGUUCAAUGUAACCAGCAGGGUCCUCAUAAGAGGGAGGAAGGAGGAUAAAAGACAGAAGGCAAUGUAAUAAAUUAAGCACAGAAACAGAAACAGAAGAUGCUAUGCUGCUGCUUUGGUGAUGGAGGAAGAGGCCAAGAAUCCAGAAAUGUAUGUGGCUUCUAGAAAAGCCAAGGAAACAGAUUCUCCUCUAGACCCUCCAGAAGGAUCCCAAUACUGCCAACACAUUUUAAACUUCUGACCUUCUGAACUGUAAGAUAAUAAAUUUGCGUUGUCAUAAGCCACUAUAUUUGUGACAGUUUGUUACAGCAGCAAUAAGAAGCUAAUGCACUAACUCUCUGGGAAGCAGAAGAAAGUGUCUUAAUUUGUUCUGCACCCUGCAGUUUGUGAAACAACAUGCAUACAAAUAAGCUUUCUAUUUUGAUAGGAGUUUUACAGCUAGUAAUUAGAGAGAAAUCAACCACAUAUAAAAUUUUAAUAACCUAGCAGGUAUAAGGAUGGACUCUAUUGGUGUUUCUGUUGACAAUGCUUAGCAUGAAGAAAUAAUGCUAGAGUGAAAAUUACUAGAAAUUACAGAAUGCCCAAAGAGUACUGAUACUAGUGCUAUGUGUUUAGGUGACAUAGGUGAUAAUCUAUUAACUUUCUGCUCAAUUCAUUUCUAGAGUCCCUGAUGAGAAAAAAGAAAUUAAGACUUUUGAAAAACUGCCAAAUGUCAGACCUAAAAUCUAUGCCAAAGGCAAACUCUAAAAUAUGUUAAUUCCUGUGUAAUAAAAAGACUUCCUGAAAUAAAAAGUAUACUUAUUAAUUUAGUGAUAUAACUCUGAAAUUUGCUUCAAAAUUAUCCAUGGGAAAGGAGAGAAGUAGAGGAGUAUAGGUAGGUAAUUCAAAACUUAUUCUACUUUUUUUUUAUGCUUUUGUAUAUGUUUGAAAUUUUCUUUCCUGUUUUAGCACUAUAGGGCAAAGAGCCAGAAAAUGCCCAUCAGGUAAACAAGUACACACUGUGUUUGCCACAAAUUGCUUCUGGGAUUGGCUAUUAAUCCAACUAUCAAAAUUCAAUAUUCUGUUCUGUAGGCUUUUACAUGUCAUCUUAUUUAGUAGUCAAAACAGCACUUAUUAUCACGUAGAUGAAGAAACUGAUGUUCUAGGUGAGUUAUUUUGUCUAAGAUCACAAAGGAAGUAACUAAUGAGGCUGGGACAUAGACCUGGGACUUCUAACUCCAGGUCCUCACCCCUUUUCAUUACAGAGCCACUGUUCUAACAAGGUACUGUUAGGUGAAGGAAUCCCCAAACCUGAUUCUUCUGGAAUCUAAAUAAUGUAUAUUUCACAGCCAGAGUGUGACUUGUUUGGGAUGAUCUUUUCAAAAAUUAUCUUUGGAGCCCUGGGCUUCAUAUCAUCAUACUGAAAAGAUCCUGUGGAUAGAAGGCCAGGGGAGAAGCUUCCCUAAUAUUUCAAAGACCAAGGGCAAGAGUACAAAUGGAGAAACAUACAUUUUGUUUAAAUAUGUAAAAGUUAUAAACCAAUCAUUGAAUAAAAUGUUACUUCUAAUCUUGACAAAUGUAUCUUCAUAAAGAUAAAAAUCAAAAAAUAUGUAUAAAGUUAUGGUUUUAAUUUAAAUGAAUCAAAUAUCAAAAGUGAUUACAUUUAGUUAUUGCUGCAUCUGGGUGUCUGUUAAUAGUCUGGCAAUGUUUGGAUAAACAGCAAUAUUAAGACAUACAUAAUUCAAAAUUUACUAUGUAUAUAUUUCAUUACAUUCAUUUUUUUUGUCUCCAUUCUGGCAAAAUCCUGUUCUAUUGAUAGCAAUGAUCUGAGAAUUUAAAACUGAGACAUAUAUUUGAACUCUAAACAUCUGUGUAAAUUUUAGUUAAAAAUCUUAAAGUAAAUGUAAAAAAUUAAUUAAAACUAUAUUAUAUGCUCUCAGAUUAAAUUUUCUCCUAAAAUAUAAGAAAUACAACUACAACUGGUGAAUAUCAACUUUUAUUUUACUUUUUGAAAAUAAAUCUUAUCAAACAUUUUUUACAUGAAAUCAUUCACAAUUAUCUUAUACCAUAUCCAUCUAAUUGUCAAAGUAAAAAUUUGUGUUAUGCACUACAAAAGUUAUGUAUAGACCUACACAUAUGAAAAUUUAAGUGAUGUGAAUUAUUUGAUAUUAUAAAAUAUUCCUCAGCUGCCAUUUGCAAUUGUUGGGAUUCCAUACUAAUUUGUGAGAAACUCUGAAGACAUGAAAUCAAAGAGCAAAAAAAUAGACACUCAGCAUUAUAGAGAAAUUAUACUUCGUUGCACAAGAAUUCAUUGUAUGCAUGCUAUCUGAGAGUAGAGAUUUGACAAGUCAAAUAAUUUAUCUUUUCACUUAACUACGCACUUUCACUGCUCCAGUUCUCUUGCACUUCAAAGCCAUUUGUGUCCAAUAUCAACAGCAGCAUAACCCAUAAACCUUACAGUAUUAUUGAAACAGUUACUUUGUACUUUGAGCACACAGACCAAGAAAUGUACUGAAGCAUUUCUUUGGGGCCUGAGUGGUGUUAACCACAGGAGCAAAUGCUGAGUUAUGGGUAACAAUGAACCAGCACUGACUAGUUGUGGCCAAAAGUAUUAUGUGUUCUUUACCACAUUCAUUGGUGUUUGUGAUAGGUACAGCCUCAGUUUGAGCAGGAGCCCCUAUUUUUCAGGAGUUAAGGUGGUACUGGACAGGCAACCCAACUUAUAUGCCAAGUCAAAGUCCAGAUUCUCCCACAUUCUUGUGAUAAAGCCAAUUUGCAUCUUUCUCUAAACACUUUGAUCUAUUUAAAUGUUAUUUCAAUGCUUUGAUAUAAAAGAUAAGCAAUUAAGACUUUAUAAUUACUCCUUUAGUGAAACAACUUGAAAACAUUGUACAUUAUCACAGAGUUCAUAAAGUCAGAUUUCAUGCUUACAAAUAACAUAUCGAUUAGGCACAAAGAAGAUCCAGGAAAAAGAGAAAAGCUAGACGAUAGUUUGAGUGAGAAGUGGCAGAGUUCAUACUACUGUUCUCAGGCCCAGUCCUAGUCUCAGCCUUGGCAUCCCCACUUCUCCUUAUAGCUGCUGGAUAUUGAUCCCUGCCUUGUUGGCUCAGUCCACUUCAGUUCCCAAAAUCCAUCCUGACCUCAAAGAGAGAGGAAAUAAACUGCUCCAACCUCUUGUUUGGAUGCAUGAACUAGGCCUUGUGCAGCCGAAAGCACAUUCUUGCCUCAGGGUCUUUGCACUGGCUAUUAUCCCUGCCUGCAAAACUCUUUCCCAAGAUAUUCACAAUGCUUCCUUAUCAUUAAACUCUUUGCUCAAAUGUCACCUUCUAAGUGAAGCCUACCCUGACCAUCCCAUCUAAAAUUUCAAUAUUCCUUCAACACUCACAAUCUCUCUGUUUUUUCCAUACUAAUUAUUACUUGCUAAUAUAAGAUAAUUUACUUAUUUAUCAUAAUUUUUCUUUCUUUCUUUCUGCUGGAAUAUAAGCAACAUAAGAGCAAUAAGAUUUGCCUUAUUUUCUUACUGAUGUAUCUCCAGAAUGUAAAAUAGCCUAACAGAGUAGGUGCAUGAUAAAUAUUUGUUUAAUGAAUAAUUGAAUCCCCAAGUUGUUGGUCUAUUGUAAAGAAUCAAUAUGUUAGAGCAACUACUCUUGUUAAGGGGACUUGUAGGCCUAAUCUUAGAGGCUACAACGCUAUUCUUGCCAUCUCCAUCUUAAAAAUCAGAUCCUGAAGCCAAUGUGCCUGCUCAAGCCCUACUAUAGGUUUAAGAUGGCAGUGGGCCUGCUGUAAACAGCUGGUACUGCAUUUUUAGCUUUUGACUUCCCCAAUUCUGAGGCCUCUGUUCCCCAACUUGACAUUGUUUCUUUGAAGCCUUGGUCCCAGUGUCUUUUAGUUAGUAUCCCAAGAAGCCUAUACACUGCCUCUUCUACUCCAUAAUGAGUAAGAAACCUGGCUCUAGUCUCUAUAAUGACACUUUGUGUGGGUGAUUAGAGCAGAUUUCUAUCUAUUAGCUGUAGCUUAUAAUAUGACUGAGAUAUGAGUCAUAGCAUAGGUUUUGCCAGGAAAGUAGCCAUUGUUUUCCAUUCUUUAUUGUUUCUGAUAAGAAGCCAGCCGUGAUCUGCAUCCAUUUUCCACUGUAUGUAAUACAUCAUUGUUUCUCUGGUUGCUUUCAAAAUUCUUUUUUAUCUUUCCAUUUUAUCUAUUUGACUAUGAUAUGUCUUGAUGUGAUUUUCUUUGCAUUUAUAUUUAUUGGGGUUUGUGGGCGCAUUUUGGAUCUUUAAAUUGAUGUCCUUCAUAAGUUUCAUUCAGUGUUUCUUUAAGUAUUUUUUCUGCUCAAUUUUUUUUAUCUCUUCUCUUCCCAGGACUCCAAUUGCAUACACAUUAAGCUACUUGAUAAAUGGUUUGACAGUUCUCUGAGAGACUGUUCAUUUUAAUUCCAUCAUUUUUUCUCUGUUCUUCGGAUUAGAUCAUUUCUAUUGAUCUAUUUUCAAAUUCACUGACUCUUGCUAUUUUUAAUCUACAGUUAAGUCAAUAAAUUUUUAUUUCUAUAAUUUUAUUUUUUUCAGCUCUAGAAUUCAAAUUUUGUUCUUUAAUAUAGUUUUUUUCACUAUGGAUAUUCUCCAUUUGCUUAUUCAUUGUACAUAUAUUUUCCUUUAAGUCCUUGACUAUAUUUAUAACAGCUGCAUUAAAGUCCUUGUCUGAUAAUUGCAGCAUCUAGACAAUAUUGGGUCUGGUUUAUAUUUUUCUCCUCGUCCUCAUCUUCCUUCUUCUUGAGUAUCACCAUCAUUUUUGUGUUUCUACAUGUCUUAUUUUUUAACUGAAAACUGUACAUUAUGAAUAUAUAGAGUAGAUGUUGAGAGCUAUGAGGUGUCAAGGUGAUCAAUUCAGGCAACAGCCAAACUGAAAGCAACAAUCAAGCCUUUAUUCACUUACUGUGUUAGUCUAAGCAAGAGGCCAAAAAGAGAAGAGUAGUGCCAGUUCUCUCAAUGCUCCAUUUUUUCCUCAUGGAGUGCCACCAGGUGAGGGUCAGAUGGAUCACUGCAGCUGGGGAACAAAAGGUUCCUGCCAUUUUCUGGACUCGGGGGAUGGAAUGAGAGAAACAGGAAAAAGAUACGCAUGAAAGACUGAGUCAGAGUGGUGAAAAGUGUCCUCAAGGAUAAGGAGGUCUUAGCAGUGGUGCCUGCAUGGUAUCUAAGCUGAACCCCACCCCACCCUACCCAUAAGGAGGCUGCUGAAUGGAGGUGCCUUGGCUGGAAAUGCAGAUAUGCACAAGAGCAUGGCUAGCUAGGGUUGGUGGAGAGGGUGACUGAGUCCUCCACUUCAGAGUCUUCAGUCUCUGAAGGAGUCUCAACUUCCUUCAGAGAUUGCAAUGUACUAACUGUGCACCAAGUCUGGCACGGGGAGGGAGGGUAAGUUUUCCCCCUUGCCAGGCUGCCAGGUAAAUCUUUGUAAUUGUUUAUGGUUAUACAAUUUUGACCUGAAGCCAACUCCUCCAUGGAGGCUUUAGAUUCUGUUAUUUCUCUGGAGCAUGAUUUGUUUUUUUUCUAGCAGAGAGUUAACUUAGCUAGAGUCAAACUCCAAAUGGUCUCCCUUUCCAUUGGCAGCAGCUAGAAUCUCCACUCAGUUUUUUCAGUUUUCAGCUGCUUCUUUUUGAUCAGGCUCUCUUGGGUCCCACACUUAUAGUAUAGUUUGACAGCUAGCCAAAGCUUUGGGCAUAUUUUAAAUGCAUAUUUUGGGGCUCAAUCCCUCUGAGGAACCCUUCCUUCCAGGAUUUCCACUAUAGAGUGGGUUGAAUGGUAGCCCCCCCCACCCCUGCCAAAAUAUAUUUCUGCAUCUUAAUCCCUGGAACCUAUGAAUGUUACCUUCAAAAUGAAUAAAUGAAAUGAAUGGGGCAAAGAUGUGAUUAAGAAUCUUGAGAGCAGGAAUUUAUCCUGGAUUAUCUGGGUGUGCCCUAAAUGCAAUCACAUGUAUUCUAAUAAGAGAGAGACAGGAAGUGUUGGGACAGAGACACAUAAAAGAAGACAUACAGAAGAGUAGGAGGCAAUGUGACUUUGGAAGCAGAGAGUGUAGUGAUAAUUUGCAAGCCAAAGAAUGCCUAGAGUCACCAGAAAUUUGAAAAGGCAAGGAAUGGAUUUUCCCUAGAGCCUCCAGAGGGAGCACGGCUCUGCUGACUCCCUGAUUUCAGGCUGCUGACAGCCAGAACUGUGAGAGAAUAAAUUUUUGCUAUUGCAGUCCACCUAGUUUAUAGCCACUUGUUACAGCAGCCGUAGGAAACCAACACACUUUUGAACAUUCUGGUUGCUCUAAUGCUGUGACCUUUGCCCUCUCACACCUCAGGACAGCACAUUUGUGGAUUUCUGUGCUCAGAGUAGUGGGUGAAUUGGGGAAAGUACUCAGGCAAAAAGCCUCAAACUAUAAAUCCCUGGGUCCUCUUAAUUAUGCCCUUAGAUUCAGGUUGUUUCAACACAGCUCCUGGGUGAAGGGCUAGGAUUGCAAGUUGUAAACACAUUUGCUAAUCUCACUUUUUACCAGUCUGGAAAUAGCAUUUCAGUUUACUGGCCAUGGGGCAGUGCUCCUAGCAUAAUGCAUGGUAAUGCCUCUGGUACCUGAAUGAACUUUAAGAAGUAUGCUACAGUGCAAAAUGAUCACUCCAUACUGCUUAAUACUUUGCUUUCCCUGUUACAAAAUCAGGAAAGCAAAUUGGUGCUGCCCCAUCAUGAACCCUGGCUCACUCUUUCUUCCUAGGAGCCCAUAUGGAGGAGCCCAUCAAGGUUAUCUGUGAAUUUUUCCACAUGUGGCAGCAAGGGGGAUCAUUGCGCUGGAAUCUGAUUUAAUCUGAUUAUCAGGUACCUCAAACAAAUGUAAUACAUCAUUCCUUGGCUUAACAUCCUUUUUAAAAAAACUUUUCACACCUUCAGAACAAAUUCCAAAUUGUAUGGCAUAUAACGUUUUUCAUUGGUGGUUUCCAAGCUAAGAUUUCACCUUUUUACUGUGUCUCAAACAUGCCAGGCUCUUUGAUGCCUUUCUUCUUAGCCACAUGCCUCAGGAUAGUUUUAAGGCUACUCACAAAUAUUCUGCUUCCCACUCUCCAGGAACAUGGAAGAAUGACUCUCCCGCCCACUUGAAGUUAGGCGUGGCCAUGUGCCUUGUGUUCCCCAGUGGAAGUUGAGUAGAAGUGUUGUGUGUCACUUUUGGAGCCAGUAUGUUUUGAUAUAUUUAAUUUUGUCUCUGGCAUGGUAACAAGCAACUUUGAAGCUUGCUUCCUGAAUGACAGUAAUACACAAUGUGCCUGCAAACCCAGAAAGGGCACACAGUGAAAGAAAUAAACCUUUACCAUUUUAAGCUGUUAAUGUUUAUUGGCUGUUUAUUACAGAAACAGCUGUAAUGUCUUGUUAUUCUUAGUGUUACAGGACAGAGAAAUAUGUUACAGGAAAGGGGUCCCCAUCCAGACCCCUAGAGAGGGUUGUUGGAUCUCACACAAGAAAGAAUUCAGGGCGAGUCCGCAGUGAAAAGUGAAAGCAAGUUCAUUAAGAAAGUAAAGGAAUAAAAGAAUGAGUACUCCAUAGACAGCAUAGCCGAGGGCUGCUGGUUGCCCAUUUUUACGGUUAUUUCUUGAUGAUAUGCUAAACAUGGGGUGGAUUAUUCGUGCUCCCCUUUUUCAGACCAUAUAGGGUAACUUCCUGACGUUGCCAUGGCGUUUGCAAACUGUCAUGGCACUGGUGGGAGUGUAGCAGUGAGGAUGACCAGAGGUCACUAUCCUGGCCAUCUUGGUUUUGGUAGGAUUUAGCCAGCUUCUUUACAGCAACCUGUUUUAUCAGCAAGAUCUUUAUGACCUGUAUCUUGUGCCGACCUCCUAUCUCAUUCUGUGACUUAGAAUGCCUUAACUGUCUGGGAAUGCAGCCCAGUAGGUUUCAGCCUCAUUUUGCCCAGUUCCUAUUCAAGAUGGAGUUGUUCUGGUUCACAUGCCUCUGAUACUUGCAUGUCUAUAAAAGUUCUACUUUUGCAGCAUUCAAUGGCCAAGUAAAAUGGCCUCUCUGGGAAACCUUCUCUAACUCCACUAUGCAAGUAGGCACUUCCUUUUCUGUACACCUUGGUUGUUUUUUCUUUUCAAGACCAAUAUACCUCUACAGUUGAUGGUUUUAGGCCAAACCAAGUGUGCCAAAAGAAAGUGAAAAUAACUGUUGCUUUUUUUCUACUUACUCUAGGAUGAAAAAAUGGUCUCUGCAUUUAUUUCUACUUCACAGAACAGAGUCCCAAUUCUGGUAGUCAUAACUUUGUGGGCAAUUUAUCCUCCCCUAUAGGAAACCCAGGUUUUAGUAAGAUGCUAGGGGGUGAGUGAAAUCUUGAUUUGAACUUAGAAAACUGUAGUAGUUUAGCUGUUUUCUAUCACAAUGCUAAGUUGCCUAAAUGUCUUUCCAGACAUAAAAGAAGUCUUCACAACAAUAAGGAGUAACAGUGAUAGAAGAUCUUGCUCAUGAUAUAAUGAGGCCAAUUCAGUGUGCAACGGGGCCUCUGCUCCAGGUGUUCAGUCACCAUGUGUGGAACUACAGCAAAUACUAUGAGAAAGAGAGAAAUUCUGCCUUUGCCCACUGCGUUUGAUGAUCUCCUUGCCAGUUGUGGAUUGGCAAAUGGAAAGGAAGUAUCAUCAGGAAGGGAGAAAUAGAGAUACAAAAAGAUGAAGUUUCACGGCCAACAUCCCACAGGAAUUUAAUGAUCAAGCAAUGGCAUCAUUAUUUAUUUGUAGAUAUGAUGUGAUUUUUAGGGGCAGUCAGAGGCUUUCUCUGUCCACAGUUGCCUUUGUGGUACCUAAAAUCCUACCACCGAGGAGUAAUUUUCUUUGGAUUGUAAAGUCUGUCUGACUUCUAGGGUUCUCCAUGGUCAUGUAACUAUCAUGGGAGGAAGUAACAACUUCCUCCAUGAGCUAACAUGACAAUUGUGAAAACAAGGCUCUGUAAAAAAGGAACAAGGCUAGGCAUCUGCUGAGAGGGUAAGGACAUGAAUCAUGUCCACUGAUUUCUACUUCAAUGUUUAACUUCUAGAAUACUUAGCUUUGAGAGCCAGAUUUAGGAAGAGAAAGGGCAAGAGGUGGCCUAUGGAGGGAAGGAGAAGCAGCUAGAUAUGUAAAAUAGCUGAUCUGAAAUUAUCCACUAAUUCAAGUUAAGGUACAUUAAUUUCUCCAGAGGCUGCUGGGAUGCUUUGUCUUGGUGCAAUGAGCUAAAUGAAACUGUUCUGUAAUUCAUCACUGAAGUUACUGCCUAUCACUUUCAUUUCUCACAGGUGCCCAGCCAUAAGUAAGCAGAUUAUGCUGCUUGCUAUCCACAGGGAUGGAGUGUGUUUGUUUCAUUGCUAUUUAAAUGCAGAUUUGAAUCCAAGCCUAUUGGUGAUAUGAUUGCCAAGAUCCUCACUGGGAGAUUUAAUUCUUCAAUACAUUGGAAGAUGUCCAAAUUGUCCUGGCUGUGCUGAGCAUAGGUGGAUGGAAAUGGCAUGACCAAUUAAGGACACCAUCAAUCAGUCAAUUAAUAAGCAGUAAUUGAACAAAUAUAGGACACUUGGUUAAGCAUUAUGGAGAACAUAAACAUGCUAAGAAUUAGUCCCUACCCUGAAAUUAUUUAGGAAAUACUGAAAGUCCACUUUCUGUCUUUCUUUCUUUUCUUUCUUUUUUUUUUUUUUUUUUUGACAGUCUUGCACCGUCGCCUGGGCUGGAGUGCAGUGGCGUGAUCUCGGCUCACUGCACCCUCUGCCUCCCAGGUUCAAGCGAUUCUCCUGCCUCAGCCUCCUGAGUAGCUGGGAUUAUAGGUGCGCACCACCACUCCCAGCUAAUUUUUUGUAUUUUUAGUAGAGACAGGGUUUCACUAUGUUGGCCAGACUGGUCUCAAACGCCUGACCUCGUGAUCCACCCGCCUUGGCCUCCCAAAGUGCUGAGAUUACAGGCGUGAGCCACCAGGCCCACUUAAAGGCCACUUUCAACCCUAUUGACUUCCUUCACUCAGCCAGUAGUAGCCAGCACCUGCAGGUUCACUCUGAGUCCAUCACAGGCAUGUAGGCGUUCCUUUGCCUUAAAUGGCUCUGGGAAUCAUCUUCUGUAGCCAAGCUCCCCAAGCUGUCACUUAUGACAGCUGCAUGACACUACUGCUGCUGCUAAUCUAUACAUCCAACUCACCCUCUGCCGUAGUUUUCAGGCUUUUGUUUUGUUUGUUUUGUUUUGUUUGUCCUUAUUCCUAUUAUUACUGGCUCUCAGCCCUGAACCCCAGCCCAGUCAGUGAAAGUCCUGAUUCCCUCAGCUUCUUUGCCCUCCCACUAAAGAAGGGUUUCUCAAACUUGGCACACCUGAUGUUCGGGGCCAGAUAAUUCUUUGUUGUGAGGCUGUCCUGUGCAUUUGGGAGGUUUAACAGCAUCCCUAGCCUCUCUACUCACAAGACACCACUAGCAGCCUCCACUCCCACAGUUAUGACAAUUAAAAGUGUCUUUAGACAUUGCCAAAUGUCCUUUGGAGGUCAAAAUUACCCCCAGUUGAGAACCCUUGCUCUAAAUGCUCUUCUACAUGUCUCCUUUGACUCAGAAAGACUUCCUUGGGCUGUGAGUCCAUGACUGCAGUCAUGAACUUCUGACUUUGUACUUUUCUUUCUCCUUCCACUGGUGUUAUAAGCCCCAUGAAGGCACAGUGCUUGUCUUCCCUAUCUCACUUCUAGGUCAAUGCUUGACAUAGAAAAGACACUUGAGGUUUAUUUUUUAAAUGCCUGACAGCCCGAGUGCCUCCAUCCUGGAAUCAAGGGAGAGAUGGGGAGAUUUAAUUCUUCAGUACAUUGAAACAUGUCCAAGUUGCCCUGGCUGCAUUGAGCAUAGAUGAAUGUGAACGGCAUGACCAUUCAGCCCUGGGGAUAGAUGCUGGCUAGAAUCAGGCUUAGGUUGGCAGCACACUUCACUGUUGACAAUUUGGAGAGUUAGCUGUCAGGCCACACCUAUCACAAAAGUUGAUCUGUCCACCCCACCCCAUUCCAUCAUCACCCCAUAUAACAGGCUUGCCCACCCUCAUCAGUUCAUACUAAGAGCCCUUGAGAUAGAGCCAUGCUUUUCAUAGCAAACAUAAAAUCACAGGAAGGCUCCUAACAUUAUCAAGCGGCACACAAUAAAUUCAGACUGAAAAGAUGCCUGCUGUUGACUGGGAUAAUGGUGGAGCAUUUGAAACAUGAAUUAGGCUUUAAAGAAAGGGGUAAUUUGAAAAAGUGGAAGUGGGAAGGUAAGGGAAUGGUUAAUUCCAAAUGUUUAAUGUGGGGAAAAUAAUAUAAGCACUGCAGAGUUGAGGAAAAAUCAUGAUACACUUUAGACGGCAAAUGUUAUAAGGAAACAACCCAGGGAGGAAGGAACUAAUGAAGAGACUAAGGUAUGAAAAUACAUGGGGCAUUUUUCCCUACUAGUGUGACAAUCUGCCUAUCUGGAGUGACUACCAUGUAAAAAAAAUAAAUGUCCCUUAGAAGAAGAGUCUCCUCUGGCAGAGAGAACCUGGAAAGAGAAUAUACUUGAUCAGGUAAUUACUCGCUCAGCCAAAUACAUUGGCAAACUAAUACUAAGGUAAUACAGAGAAAUAAACAGACAAGAGUAUCUGUGAAGUUCUUGACAAAAGAUUAAUAAGGGGGCAUAGCAGGUUGGGCACAGUCCUAUGUCAAGAGUGCAGGUUAAGGAUCUGACAGCCACAUAAUGGCUUUGUGAUCUUAAGUUCCUUAAGCCUCAGCUCUAAAAUGGGGAAAAUAGUAACCUUGCAUGUAUGGGGUGAGGGUUGUAUGAGAUAAGGGUGUACUGUAUACAAGAUCAUACAUUAUCAAAUGGAGACUAUUUUUUAAUCUGCCAAAUAUUAGAGCAUCAUUGAAAGUUACAAUGGACAUCACAGUAUACUUCUGGCAUAUAGAUGAAGAGACAGAUAAUAGGACAUAGAUGAAAACCCAUGAAUAAGAAAUAGUACUAAUAUAUGAAACUGACCUGAACUAAGUAGUGUGUAAACAGAAUGCCACUGUAUUUUUCACCAUCCUCUGGUAAAAUGGCUCUCUUUAAUCUUCCUUCUAUGGCACUGGAUGGACCUCAGGCAAAUUCCAGAACUUUUCCAUUAGUUCAAAAUUCUAAAACUUCAAUACCAUAUACCCAAACUUCAGUCUUUUACACAAACUAAAACUUCCCCCCUUUCUAAGCUCUGCUGUGAAUCAUGUUUUGAGAUCAGCAAUAGGGAAAGGGACUGUGGUACUUCCUUCAUUAUUUCUCCCUACCUUGAUCUUCUACCCGUCUUCCCCACUGACUCUGCCUUUGGCUUCUCCAGGGUUGCAUAUUCCCAACUGCAGACCUCCAACUGCAGCUCCCUGUUAUGGACAAUAUCUCCUCAGUGGCCACCAAUGACUCCUGUCAAGCCCUGGCUUCCAGCGGCUCUUGCUCCAGGAUAACCCAGAGUCCUCACCUGUCUGUCCCAUGGGAAACACACACUCUUAUCCACUGGAAGUCAGGCUCACUCCCUAUGCUGUCAGAACAGACCUCUUUGUAAUCUUUGAAAAGCUUUCAUCUCCCCUGUGGGUGGGGGAUGUCCCAACACUCUGACUUCCUCUGGACCUCUUGGUCCUUAGCUCAUUCUUACAUAGCCUGGAGGUGAUAGGAGGUAUCAAGGCAGAUUAGUUUCGAGUCAUUCUCUCUGCAAGUCCUGCAGAGACAGUCAAGUGACUUGCUUUUGAAUGAGGGGAUACUUAAUACCUAUUUUCCCCGGGUUUGAGAUCUUAAUUAAAAGUCCAAAAAAGAAAACAUCCUUUUUACAUCCUUUAACAUGUGUACUUAGUACAUGUGUUUUUUACAUCCUUUAACGUGUGUACUUAGUAAUGAAUGUUUAGGCACAAAUAAUAUGAUGUAGUAACAUAUUGAUAGAUUAUCUGUUGUUAGUCACUGUACAAAGAGCAACACAGCAUAUAUAUAUAUGCAUAUAUAUGCAAUGUUACACAUGCACUGUACAAAAAUAUACAUUAUAUAUGUAUAUAUAUGCAUAUAUAUAUGCAAUAUUAUUCAGCCACAAAAAGAAAUGAAGUUCUGAUACAUGCUAAAAUACAGUUGAACCUUGAAGACAUCAGGCUGAGGGAAAAACGCCAGUCACAAAAAGACAAAUACUGUAUAAUUCUACUUCUAUGAAGUACCUAAAGUAGUGAAAUCUAAAGGGACAAAAAGUUAAAUGGUGGUUGCCAGGGUGGGGCCAAAGGAUAAUGGGGAGUUAUUGUUCAAUGGGUAUAGAGUUUCCGUUGCGUAUAGUGAAAAGAUCUGGAGAUGGAUGGUGGUCAUUGUUGCACAACAAUGUGAAUGUACUUAAUGUCACUGAAACGUACACUUUAAAAUGGCUAAAAUGAUAAAUUUUCUGUUAUGUAUAUUUUAUGACAAUUUUACACACCAAAAAAAAAAAGUAGAUGGAGAAAUGGCCAGAAAAUGGACAACUUUGUGUGAGUGCCUGAGGACAAAGAUAGCCUAAAGCAGCAGGCUGCUUGUCUCACCAAACUCUAGAAAGACUCAGGCCCAAUUAUUAGGGUGAAGCUUAGGACUGAGAGCAGAAGAAAUCAACUAAAGUCAAGAUCUUUGUGCCCACCCCACUGACAGGCUUUGCCAUAUUCUGGGUUUUCCUGAUGACUUUUCCAGAUAGAGUGACAACCCCACAGGUUUGCCUAGGACUGGGGGGCUUUCUGAGACACAGGACUUCCAGUGCUAAACUGGAAGCAAUUGCUCAUGCUAAGUUUAACAUACACCUCUGUCUUCUGUAUUUCUUUUAAGUUGAGAGUGGGAAAUGAAGGCUGAUCAGAUUCAGAUUUAUUUUCGUGGCAAAGCUACUUCUUAGACGGUGUUGGGUUGGCUCAUUAGAAGGUACAUGGUGUUUCACUGAGUCUUUUUUGAAUGGUGUUAGCAGCCACGGAAGCUCAAUACCUAGAUUCAUUUAUUUUGCAAAACUGCUAUACUGUAACUCUAUUAUUUUGUCUUUAUUUAUUAGGUAAAAUAAUUUUACAGAGAAACAUUCCCAUAAAUUAUUUGAUCCCAUCUUUUUAUUUACCGCUUUUAAAAAUAAUGAGUUGGUUCCCCAGUGUUCUCUAAUGUUGACCAAUUAGAUUUCUUUGAUAUGCUUAUGAUCUCAUGAUUUUAAAAAUAUCUAAUGUGUCUCAAUUCAUUGCAUUUAUUUUCCUUUUUACGCUCAAUUGUCCCAUCUUUGGCUAUAAGGGCCUUUUAAAGUGGGCUCCUGAGUCCUUUUGACAUGAUGCCAUUAGUCAUUCAUAGUUUUUCUUGCUGUCUGUAGGACAAUUUGUUCUGGGCCGGGAAUCAGCCAUUUCUCUAAAUAACUCUGGCUGCUUUCAAUGGGAAAUGGUAUUAUAAGACUACCAUUUGGCUGCUAGGGAAACUUAUUGCUACUAGGUCGGUCAUUAUUUCUAGACUUUUUCAGUAGACAAGGCUAAGAUUUAUUUUUUUAAAAAAGAUAAAAUACAUGACAAAUUUAAAAUGAUGCUUCAAUUUAAAUUCAGACUAGAGCUUUUAUUUAAUCUCUUCUAUCGUGCCCUUUCUCCCAUGAUGAAAAUUCUGAUUUCAACAACACUGAGGAUGAUAGAAUUUGAAUUUCAUAUAAUUACUCAUUUGUUUUAUGUAGGAAUACAUACUCUACAACUUAGAAUAACAGUAUCAAUUUGUACAAACAAUAUGAUUACUGAAAACUAUUUAAAUAUAUUUUGGAAUAGUUUUUGUCUUUGGAGUAUAACCCACUACAGUUUUAUAGUCAUAGUAUUGCAUUUUAAAAUUACUUGGAAUAGUUUCCUAAUUAGUUUUUUAAUACUUUAUUCUUAAGUAUGAAUGGACAGCUUAGGAUCACCAGUUAUUGCUCUAUAGCCUUCAAAAUAAAAUAAAAAAUCUACCAAAAAGACUGACAUCAAAAAGGAUAGCCAUAUUUUUCAAAAGCAAUAGAAGAGUUUGAAGAUACAAUUGAGAAAAUAUUUCAGAAAGUGAGCAAAACCAAAAACAAAAAGAUUAGGAGAGAAAAGUUAGAGGAUCAACCCAGAAGACUCAAUUAGUAGGAACUCCAGAGAUCAGAGAGAAUAAAGAAGAAAAUAAAGAAGAAAAACCGUAUUUCUAGGUUGAAAGAUCUUGUCAAAAUGCCCAGAAGAAUGAAUGAAUGAAUGAAUGAAUGAAUGAAUGAAUGAAUGAAUGAAAAAACUAAUCAAGAUACAUGAUAGUAAAAUGUUACUUCAGAGAUAGAUAAGGAGAAGAUGCUAAAAAAUUCAGACGAGGCUGGGCGUCGUGGGUCACGCCUGUAAUCCCAGCACUUUGGGAGGCCGAGGCAGGUGGAUCACCUAAGGUUGGGAGUUCGAGACCAGCCUGACCAACAUGGAGAAAUCCCAUCUCUACUAAAAAUACAAAAUUAGCUGGGGGUGGUGGCGCAUGCCUGUAAUCCCAGCUACUUUGGAGGCUGAGGCAGGAGAAUCGCUUGAACCUGAGAGGCAGAGGUUGGAGUGAGCCAACGUUGUACCAUUGCACUCCAGCCUGGGCAACAAAAGCGAAACUCCGCCUCAAAAAAAAUAAAUAAGUAACCUCGGAGGAAAAAUAGGUGCAUAAUUAGAAUCUGCAAUCAGAAUCAUAUCGGACUAUUCAAGAGUCACACUGGAAGCUACAAGACUAUGGAACAAUGCCUUCCAAAUCCGGAGGAAAAUGUAUUCCCAGCUAUUAUUCUAUACUAUUCAAAUUACAAACAGGUAUAAGAGUAGAGUAAGAAUAGUAUUAGCCCUGACUCAACUGUUCAUCCAUCAUAUACUCUUUCUUAGAAUGGUAUGGAAGAUAUAUUUAUUUUAGCAAAAUAAAGGAUAAGUGAAGAGUAAGUAAGACAGGAAUCCAGCAAACAGCAAAUCCAACACAGGGAAGAGGAAAAGGAAGGUUCCAAAUCAAUCAACCAAAUUAGAGCAGUAGAAUCAAGGGCUCAAAGAAGGAGGUACCAGGGGAAAACAUAUUUAACUGUAGAUUAAAACAUAUUUAACUGUAGAUUAUCAGAUGUAUUUAAGCACUUGGAUAAUAAUAUUGACAGAUAUUUGUCAUAUCUGUUAAACAGAUUUACUUGAGGAUUUGGAACAUAGUUUCAUAAAUAAAUUUAAAAUGAGGCAAGUAUUAACUCUAGAAAAAAAAGUAAAUGUUGUACUACAAAGCAGCCAUAACUAUGGCAUACUUUUUGGCUCAGCAGCAAAUAUAUGUGUAUCGUAGUGUAAAUACUGACUUUCCUUGAAUAAACUUUUACCUUAGGAAUAACUUUAGAUUUAUAGAACAGUUGUCAAUAUAGUACAGAGACUAUAUACCUGUAUAUAGUCUCUGUAUACCUGUAUACCCUUCACCCAGAUUCCCUGCAUUUUAAUAUCUUCCAUAACCAUGUGACAUUUGUCAAUACAGUACUAUGUGACACUAGAUACCAUUUUAAUUUUACCAGUUUUUCUAUUCCGGGAUCCAAUGCAUGAGUCCACGUUGCAUUUAGAAACACUGACUUGUAAUUUAACCAAAAAUUGCACUUUAACCACUUUAGGAGGAUUAAGAAGAAAAUGAGGAGGCUGUCUAAAAGAGGCAAAAUCUUUGUCUUCAUAAUAGGAUACCAUGGCAGAUCUCACCUAAAACCCAACCUCAAAAAAUGGUCAAAAAAUGUUUAGAAGAAACAGCUAAAAAAUUGAAAGUAGUUGCUUCUGACACAUGAGAAUAGGUCCUGAGGAGGGCUUCAGAGAAAGGGACUGCUGUUAUUUUGCCACAAAUCUUUUAGCACCCUGUGGCUUUUAACUAUAUGCAGGUAUUAUUUUUAUAAAAGUAAAAGUAAAUUCAAAUAUAUAAUAAGCAAAAUAAAACUAAUAUUCUUGCUGAUUAGAAAACACAUUCCAAUAGAUCAAAAGGCAAAGGUUAUGAACAAACCAUUUUCAUGAGAAAAUAACAUACUUAAUAAAAUAUUUGUCUGAAAACAAAUUCAAUCUCUCUAAUAAUCUAACAAAGGCAAACUUUAAAAUGGCAGGUUAACAUUUUGCCAAUGAAGUUAUAAAAGUAUAAUAAAAUAAUAAUAAUAUUCAAUAUUGACUUUUUCAUGAUAAGGCAAGCACUCACAUAGAGAUAUUGAAAUUGGAGAUGUGUACUAUGGUAGUAGUUUUUUAAAACACUGGAUAAAAAUGUGUACCAAGAAUCUAAAAACUUUUCAUGCUCCUUGACUUAGUUAAAAUUACUUUUUAAUUCUUACCUUUGUGAAUAUGUGUUAAGGAAAUAACCCAAAAUAUAGACAAAUCUUUAUUUGUAAAAAAAAAAAAAAAAACCUUUAUCAUUAAAAAGCAAUAUUUAAGAAGUACAUCUACUAACAUUAGAAAAUGCUAAUAUUAUGAUAUUAAGAUUUAGAAAAAGGAUACAAGUUUGUGCAUACAGAGUGAUAUCAACUAUAUGAAAGAAAUAUUGUAGAUAAAACAUUCAAGGAAAUUCAUCAAUAUUGAAGUUAAUGGUUAUUAUCACAAAGUGGUGAGAUUGUGGGUGAUUUUGAUUUUAUCCUCAUUUAUACAUACUGAACUGUCUAUAUUGUUUUAUAAUAAGAAUGUAUUGCACUUACUACCCAGAAAAACCUUAAGUGUUAAAGAAUGUGAGGUGGGUACAACUGACACAAGGCAUGAAUUGCCAUUUUGGAAAUGUGUCUUUGACUCUAUCUUUGCUCUGGUGUCCCUGUCCCCAUCCUGUUCCCUUCCUAGCACUCUGUCUCUAGCCUCUGGUGCAUUGAUUUCAAAUGUUUCUUUAAUUUUUUAAAUUCGCCAAACAAUUAUUCAAUACCUACUUGGUCUAAUCCUUACAGAGUGUCAUGUACUAGGCAACUUGAUGAAAAGCAGAAGCAAGCAUGAUCUCCUCAAUCAAGCAGCUUUGAGUCUCAUGGGAGAUACAGAUACAAAAUUAUUACAGCACAAGGACACAAGAUAUGGAUGUGACAGUUGGCACUACAGGUCUCUCCAAAAGUAGGAAGUGCAAGGGCACAUGUGGAGCUGCCUAAAGUUUGCACAGAGAUAUUGCUCCAGAAACAGAAACCACACAGAAUUCCGCAGGCAUCUGAGCCUGGAGCAGCCUCAGCUGGGUGCCAUUUUGACCCCAGAUACUGGAGAUUUACAGACAUGGUUGCAGCCAUUGCACUGCUCCAAGGAGAGAGAAAGGAAAAUGGGUGCACUCAUGCACACUCAGGCAGGGACUUGCUCCCCUGCUACAAUCAUCUGUUGAGACUGAGACUCAAGUGGACCACACUUCCCACAGCUUCUUGCUCAUGCUGCCAGCCUGGGUGGUCCCUGGCUCUCUCUGGUCCCAAGCCCAAGGCUCUAUUUUGAGAGUUUAACUCUGGACUGUCCCCUAUCUUCAGCCUGAGCUCAGGCUGAUGCAGCUGCAACCACUGCCUGGCUAAGGAGGGACAGGGAGACCAGGUCAUCCUACUCAUAUCUAGGACGAUACUCACUGCUCUGCAACAGGCUGCUGUGAAACUGGCUGACAUGUGAGUGAACCACACUCCCCACAGCUUCUUGCCCAUACUGCUUGCCGGAGCAUUGCCCCAUUCUCCCUGGAUGUAAGCCCAAGGCAUCCUUUUGAGAGUUUAAUUCUAAGCUGCAUCUCACCAUCGCCAUGAGUAAACUAUGCAUUGGACCAAGGACUAAUAUCCAGAAUCUAUAAAGAACUUAAAGAAAUCAAGAAGAGGCCGGGCGCGGUGGCUCACGCCUGUAAUCCCAGCACUUUGGGAGGCCGAGGCGGGCGGAUCACGAGGUCAGGAGAUCGAGACCAUCCCGGCUAAAACGGUGAAACCCCGUCUCUACUAAAAAAUACAAAAAAUUAGCCGGGCGUAGUGGCGGGCGCCUGUAGUCCCAGCUACUUGGGAGGCUGAGGCAGGAGAAUGGCGUGAACCCGGGAGGCGGAGCUUGCAGUGAGCCGAGAUCCCGCCACUGCACUCCAGCCUGGGCGACAGAGCGAGACUCCGUCUCAAAAAAAAAAAAAAAAAAAAAAAAAGAAAUCAAGAAGAAACUCCCAUUGAAAACUGGGCAAAGGUCAUGAACAGACACUUCUCAAAAGAAGAUUUACAAUCAGCUAAAAAACAUAUGAAAAAAUGCUCAACAUCACAAAUCAUCAGAGAGAUGCCAAUCAAAAGCACAAUGAGAUAUUGCUUCACACAAGCCAGAAUGGUUAUUAAAAAGUCAAAAAGUAAUAGAUGUUGGUGGGGCUGUGGAGAAAGGGAAUGUUUAUGACUGUUGGUGAAAAUGCACAUUAGUUUAGCCCUGUGGGAAAAAGUUUGGUAAUUUAUCAAAGAACUAAAAAUAUAAUUACUAUUCGACUCAGCAAUCCCGUUACUUUGUAUAUACCCAACAGAAGUGAAUAAUUCUACCAGAAAAAUACAUGUACUUGUAUGUUUAUUGCAGCACCCUUCACAAUAGCAAUGACAUGGAAUCAACCCAGGUGUUCAUCGACAGUGGAUUAGAUGAAUAAAAUAUGGUACAUAUAACCAUGGAAUACUACCCAGCCAUAAAAAAGAAUGAAAUCAUAUCCUUCACAGCAACAUGGAUGCACCUGGGGGCUAUUAUCCUAAGCAAAUUAAUACAGUAACAAUAAACCAAACACUGCUUAUUCUCACUUAUAAGUGGGAGCUAAACAUUGAGUACACAUGGACACAAAGAUAGGAACAAUAGACACUGGGGACUCCUAAAAAGGGGAGGGGUGGGUAUGGGUUUAAAAACUACUUAUUGUGUACUAUGUUCACAACUUGGGCGAUAGGAUCAUUAGAAACCCAGACCUCAGCAUCAUGCAGUAUACCUUGUAACACACUUGCAUAUGUACACCCUGAAUCUAAAAGAAAAAGUGAAAUAAAAAUAGCAUAUAAAUAAAUAACAUAUAAAUAAAUAAAUGGUGCCACCAUUGGUCAAGCUUUCCAAUUUAAAGUCCUAGAAGUAAGUCAUCUUUGACUUUGCUUUCUACCUCUCCGUCUCUCUUGGGGGUUCGGUUGAUUUCACGAGGAUGACUAAUCAUUCCAGUUUGCCCAGGACUGAAGGGUUCCCAGCAUUUUGGAUUUUCAGUGCUAAAAAAAGGAAAAUCCAAGACAAACUGGGACAAGCUGGUCACCUUAAUUCCACCCUUAAGUAUUUCUCAAAACCCUCCACUUCCCAUCAUCCCCACUGCUUUAACUCAGACAACCACAGUCUCAAGUUAGAAUUCCUCCAGUGGCUCUUGCUCUAGUCUCCUCGCUCCUAAACUUACCCUUUCCCAUACAUUCUCCAUAUUAUUGAUAAGAUGCUCUUUCAGGGAUGUAAAUCUGAUUAGCCCCAAAUUAAGUCAUCCAUUAGCUCCUACUGUCUCAAGGAUAACUUCUAACUGUUUAACACAAUCCACUGCAAAUCCUCCCGAAUGUGGCUUUUGCCUGCCAGUUCCAUUCCUUAAUUCCCUCCCCUUUUUCACAGACAUGUACACUCCAGUCAUAUUGAAUGACUCGUAAUUCCUUAAAUAUGCCAUGGGAUUAGAUGCUUCUGGGUCUUCCCAACAAAAUCUACCUAAAUUGCUCUCCUCAGUUUCUUUACCUGGUAACCACCUACUUUUUACUGAAAAUUCAGGUUCAGAGUCACCUCCUCAGGAAAGUUGUGUUUGAUUCCCCUUCUCUACUCCAGCUUGAAUUAAGUGUCACCCUUGCAUGCAUUGAGGUGCUCCCUGUGCUGGGAGCUAUCAUGGCACUUAUUGUGUUGUGUUAACUUAUGUAUCAAUCUCUCUAUUAGACCAUGGAAUUAUUGAAGGGAGGUGAUGUGAUUUCUUCUCGUUAAUUCCACUGCUUAGGAUAUGCCCAGAAUAAGAAAAAACAAGGAACUGGGAGUUUGAAGGUUUGAGAAACAGUCCUGGCUCUCCCCUUAAAAAGCCACUUAUUUCUCCUGGGCUGUGGCUUCCUGUCUUCCCUUUGCUUGGCUGCCACUUCUCAUUCUUCAGGUCUUAGCUCAUAUAUCACUGGCUCUGAGAAACCUUCCCUGAUCCCCCAAGACAAGGUUUGGUGAAAUCCCAUAGCACCCUAUUUUGCCCUCACCUGUUGUCUAUAAAUCUCAUUAGUGGAGGAAUUAUUUCUGUCUUGUUUAUCUCUGUCCCCAACAUCUGGCAUAUUACCUGGCACAUGGUAGAAAGUCAAUAAAUAAUGGUUGGAUUGAUAAACUUUAAACUACAGGGCAUCAAACAGAAGAAGAUGAUCUCUAAGAUUCCUUUAGGCUCUAACCUUCUGUCAAGCAGAGAUAAAGCCCUAUAUUUCCACAGUGACUAAGAAGCAUUAAAUUAUGAUUGCCACCUUUGGAAACUGCUCUAAAUGGCAUUGUGUCAUCCAUUGUUCAGGCAAACACACAUUCAGUCGAGUUUUUGCCAAAAGUAAGGGCAUGAUGAGAUAGAAAUUUGAGUAAAAAGGGUCAUCUAAAAGCAAUGCUAGAGAAAGAAGGAGCAUGAAAGGCAAACUAUUUGUUCCUCGUGAGUGCAGGAAAUGAUGCAUCCUCACGAAAGUACCUGACGCCAACCCACAGCAGGCCACAUAGAACCUUUUGGCAUCCCAGCUGGGGAAGACCAUGGAUGCUCUGAUACCUUGUCCAUUCUACCUACUCCCACCACCAGGGACAGGGAGAGCCCUUAGGUCAGCCCAGGGACAGAGCAAGCCCUCAGGCCCUGCUCUUACUGUUGCUAACCUGAAGAACCGUAACUGUCUUACUACACAGGCACCCCCAGCCUGAACCAAGCCCCCCUAGCUGUCUGAACUGCAAUUUCUUCACCUCUCACUUUCCAGAAAUCCCUGUAGCUCAUGCCUGUCCAGCCUACUUUCCUUCUGACAACACUCUGUAUUUUGGCAAGUGGAGGGAACUCAAUUAUAAUCACGGGCAGAGACGUCUUGUUGUUGCUAUUCCUACAUAAUUAUAUUCUUCCUCAGAGAGUCACUUCCUAUGUCCACUGAUUACCACCAUGGCUUCCUGCCCUUUAUCUCCACAAUACAGCUCUGUGUUAAUUUUGUAUCUAAAGAGAACAUGGAUCAUUCAUGAAGCCUUCGUCCAGUCGAUUUCUUAAAUUAUUUGCCAAACAUUAUCCUCAAACCAGAACCGAAAACUUUCAAAUGGCCAGACAAGAUUAAUGUAUUGCUAUUAGAAGGAUUACUUGGAUCCUAGAGAUUUCUCUUCUUCUUCCUAUUAUUGUCAUAGUGUUUCAAUUUCCUCUCCUCGUGAAGAAGCAGCUUAACAUAGAAAAAGCUUUAAAGUAAAAUACAAGUCUCAUGUCCAAAGGGCUGAUUUUAGAACUUAUGGGAGUUGGUGAAUGAUGAGAAAGAAGAAGGCUAUGAAGAAGAAUAGAAAUUAACUUCUGUGGCGACCCCCAUGUGAGCCCUGAGGAGAAAGCGGCUGCAGACAGAAAUGGAAGGCACUAUUUCACUGAAAGACUCAGACACUGGGGUGCAAAGAGUGUCACAAAAGAGGAAUAUGGAUAAUGCCCCCAAUUUCUUCUUACUCUUAUGGUCAGAGAGUCUUGAGGGUGGCAGCUCAUUGGUGGGUAGCUGGGGCAGAGAACUACACAGGCCUCAUUAAAGAAGGCUAGAGAAGGGUAAAGGAAAUAGCAAGUGCUAUGUGGUAGCCAGAAGGAUUUGUUAAUAAGCCCUGAUGAGAGAGUCUGUGGAAAUAACUGGGAGUUUUCAGGGUCUAGAGGUCCUUUUAAGAAAGGAGAGGCCAGGAUCCAGUGUAAUCAGAUUAUUGUAGUUAAUAUGACCCUGAAAUAAAGUGUGGUCUCUGUGAACAGAGGUUACACAUUGGAGGAUCUAACCCAAGGUUUUUGAUGAAUUCUGACAUGGUGCCCAUUUGCAGAAUAAAACAAUCACUAUUCAUAGAAUAAAUCCAGGAGGGCAUCUGCAUCAUGGCUGCCUGACCACUGGCAGAGUCAUGUCUUGAAAUAUGUGCCAAUGUUCAAAGAUUAGGCUGGUCCCAUUUCCUUUUUUCCCCAAGGAAGGAAAAAAAUGAAGCUAGUUAACUUCCUGGGGGAGAACACUGAUUGGGCUUGAUAUGGCGGACACAGAGUUGGACCUUCACAAAUUUGUGAAUAGCGUUAAGAGGGAAAAUUAUUAAAUGAAGAGAAGUCCUAGAAGCCAGUAUCAAAAGAAACCAAAUUUAUGAAAUUAUUUUUAAUGGGGUCUUUCCUGGAGCUGGAAAAAGGACUUAUGAUAGCAAGUAAAUUUGGAUCAAUUCAAACGCCCUUUGAAUCCCCUGGGAUGAGCUUCUGUGACAGGCAAGAGGGAAAGCAGUGACGCCUGGAGGAGAAGCAAACGGUACACCAGGUGGACAUGUUUGGAGACUCAGUGACUCCCAGUUCAUGCAGAAGAAGAUUUCAAAAUUGGGUUAGAAUGCACUGCUGAGAUGGUGCCUGCCAUGGUCUGAAUGUUUGUGUACCCCCAGAAUUCAUAUGAUGAAACCUAAUUACCAAUGUGUUGGUAUUAGAAGGUGGGGCCUUUGGGAGGUGAUUAGGUAAUGAGGGCAGAACUCUCAUGAAUGGCAUUUAGUGCUUUUAUAAAAGAGGUCCCAGAAAGCUGCCUUACUCCUUCCACCAUGCAAGGACACAGCAAGAGGUUGCCAUCUAUGAACCAGGAAGUAGGCCCUCGCCAGACAUCAAGUCAGCUGGUGCCUUGACUUGGACUUCUCAGCCUCCACAACUUGGAGAGACAAGCUUCAGUUUGUGGGCUGCCCAGAUCAUGGUAUUCUUCUGUAGCAUCCCAAACAGACUAAGACAGUGCCAUAAUGGCACAUCCCUGAGACAAGGAAGAGAACAAAAAUCACAAAGUCAGUGUUUCUUCCAUUAGAGGUCAUUGGAGCCUUGAAGUGACUGACUGCUAAAAAGCAGGUGGAGAUUUAACACGGCAUCACAGUCCAGGCAAAACCACCCCCAGCUGGACCCAUACCAAAAGUAAUCAUUACAAAAAAUAGUGAAAAAGGGCCAGUAGAUUUGAAGACUGGCUAAUGCAGGCCUAUUUGGAACUUGUGACAACAGACGCUAUAAACAGUGACAUGCUACUGUGGUUACUCAAACUGCUUUAAAGUCUCCAGGCCUCUUUAGAUUUUCACUGUCACAGUUAAUCAGGAGAAGCAAAUGAACAGAAGAAAAAUCACAAGAUACAGAAACCCUGCUUCAGGCUUUAGUGGUAGAAGUCAAAGCAAAUAUGGCCCAGCAAUUUGAGAUCAUGUUGAGGUCAUUAAUGCUUUCAGGGGGUAGACAAGGCAAGGUCUUAUCUCUGUUAGCAGAGAACCACCCCCAACACACACACAAACACACAUACACACACACACACACACACACACACACACACACAUAUUAUUCUGCAGGGAACAGGAUGGGAAUAAUUUAUCAGUUCCAAUGGCUGGGAUAAACCAUCCUCUGACUGAAAAAAAAUUAGAGGGAAUAUCGGAAAACUAUAUUUCUUUUUUACAUUAUGAAAGAAAACACCUAAAGUGUCUUAAACAUAAAAGAGUAGUAUGUUGGAUAAGUAUAAGUGAAGACUCACAUAACCACCACAUGGGACAAGAAAUAGAACAUUGCAAAUCUCCUGUAUGUUCCUUUUCAUACACCCUAAAAAUAAAUACUACCCAGAAUUUUUUUGGUAAUUGCUUUUUUUUCUUUAAAUUAUUACUAAUUAAAUAUGCAUCCUUAAAAUUAUAGUUUACUUUUUCAUGUUGUUAAAUUUAUAUAGAGGAAAUUUAUUGUGCAUAGUCUUCUAUAGCUUGCUUUUUUUCCAUUCAGCAUUAUGUUCAUAAGAUUCAUUCAUGUUUUUGUGUGUUAUUCUAGUUGAUUCAUUCUCAUUGCUGUAUAUUAUUCCAUUGUAUGGCCAUAGCACAAUGUGUCUAUAUAUACUACUGCUGAUGGACAUUUGUGUAGUUACUGGGACAACUAUGAACAAUGUUGCUGUCAACAUUUUUGUCUGUGCAUCUAUUCAUCUUCUCCACUUUCUCCAUGGUACCUACCCAAGGGUGGAAUUACUGGGUUGUAUAGUUAGCAUAUGUAUUAGACCAAGUUAUUCAGAAAAAUAGAACUGGUAGGAUGUGUGUCUAUAUAGUUAUAAAAAUAUUUGUUUUAAGACAUUGGCUUUUGUAAUUAUGGAGGCUGGCAAGUUCAGAAUCUACAAGAUGCGCCAGCAGGCUGGAGACUCAGGAAAGAGCCAAGCAUACAGUUCAGGUCCAAAGACCAUCAGCUGCAAUGUCCACCUAUUUAAAUGUUAAUCUCAUCCAAAACACCCUCACAGAAAUAUCCAGAAUAAUGUCUGACCACAUAUUUGAACAGCAUGGUCCAGCCAAGCUGAGACAUAAAAUUAAUUAUCAUAGUAUAUGUUCAACUUUUGUAAGUAACACUAUUUUCCAAAGUGACUGUACUAACAUAGAGUCAUUAUGGGUGGGGAUCUUCAACUUCUCAUUAGGAUAUGGUUGACACUGAUAAGCACCCUAUUUUAUUCCUAUAGAAUGAGUAGCCCCCCAAAACUCCCAGAGGAGUGGGGGUUCUGAAAUAAGGCCUUGACUCCUGAUGCUCAGUGGCUAAUAUAAUUGUCAAGUCUUUCUGUCAUCAACAACAGGCCAGCUUUCUACUAUAAAAACUGACAGGAUGGGGUGCCUGUGUCUGAGUGCUGGCACUUCUGCCUGUAUUUUCCAUCAGCAAAUGAUGUCACAGUCCACCGAAUAGCACAAUCAGAAACUCAGGUCUCGUCUCUGACUCUACCACCUGUUUAUAGCUAAUAACUCAUCAGUUUCUAUUGACUCUGCCUCCCAUGACUCUGUCAAACUCAUCCACGUCACUCUAUCCUCUCUAAAACUACUCAAGUUCAGGCAGUCCCUUGCAAGAAUCUCUUAACUGGAUCCCUGCCUCCUGUCUUGCCCACUCCAAUCCAUUCUGGACUCUAAGAAGCCAGAAUAUUUUUUCUAAUAUAUAUCUGUGAAGUUAUCACUCUCCUGCUUAAAAUGCCCACUUUGACAUUGAAUGAAUUCCUUUCUCCUUAAUAUGAAUUAACAAAGCUCAGCACAAUGAGAGCCCCUAUCUGGGUUUUCUUUACUCUCUUCUCUUCCUUCUCCCAAUAUUGCCCUCACAGCAUUUCAGCCACAGAACACUUCUGUCAAUUCCUUCAAUGAUCCACAUUCUUUUUAGUCUCCAGGCUUUCACAUACAUAAUCCUCUCUGCCUGGAAUACUCUUUCUCCCAUUCCAUUCCUUUUAUCUCAUUAACUACUUACAACUCUUCAGGUUUUUGGCUAAGUGGAGACAAUAUUUUAUGUUUAUAAAAUCUUGUUUAAUAUUUCCCUUUCUUAGGCACAUGGAAAAGUACACUUCUCAGCCCUUGUGAUAUUAGGGAAAGCUAUAUCACUAGCUUUUACCAAUGAAAUGUGAUUAGAAGUGAUGUGUGUCAUUUCCAGCCUGUGGCAAUGAAAGCUUCUGCCCGAUUCUCAUGUCUUGCUUCACCUGCUAUUGCAAACUCAGAGGUCUCAAGUUGAGAAGGCAGAGCCUUAAGCCUGAAGAGGCAGCAUCUCUGAGUGACUACAAAAAAAAAGAGUCAGUCAUCCAAGCCGACAGCAGGCUUUCUGUGAGCAAAAAACAAGAGGUUUUGUUGUUGUUGUUGUUGUUGUUGUUGUUGUUGUUGUUAACCCACUAAGCUUUGGAAAUAUUCCUGACCAUAGCAUCGCCUAGUAUUUUCUGGCUAAUACAGAAAAUGGUGUCAGGAGUUGGAUACUACCACAGUAAAAACUAAUAUAUGUGCCAUUGGCUUAGCAGAUGGGUAGCAAAGGUAAGAAAAUAGAUAUUCAAUGCUGGGAAAACAUUAAUCCAUGUAUAAAGUUGAAAAUAUUUAGUAAAAUUGUUGUCUGUGAAUACUUGGAAAAGACUUCCCUAGUGAAGUUGUUCAGCUCGAAUGGAAGACACUGGAAAGAAGAAAUUUAAUAAUCUGUGUUAUUUGUUAUUUGCUGCAUUUGGCGAGGAAUUACAAAAAGAGUUGGAAUCAGGAAAUUAAGCAGAAAUGAAGAACAAACAGCUCAGAAAUUCGUAGCUUUGAAGGACUGGAAAAGCCAAUUUCUUUUAUUCCUCAAAUAGGAAGAGAUAACAAUGUUAAAAAAAAAAAAAGUCUUUGAGUGGUGGCAAAAGCCUCUUAAAAUUCAGUCUUGGGUCAGAGAUGAGGCUAAAUGUGAAGCCUUUCAAUAGACACUCAAGACCUUCUCCAUUAAGACAGCUUGCAGGGGAUGAAAAAGCAAAAAUAGAGAACACGUAUGAGAAGCGUGUUGUGAUGGUUAAUAUUAAGAGUCAACUUGAUUGGAUCGAAGGAUGCAAAGUACUGUCCCUGGAUGUGUCUGUGAGGGUGCUGCCAAAGGAGAUUAACAUUUGAGUCAGUGAACUGGGAGACACAGACCUACCCUCAAUCUGGGUGGCUAGCAUAAAGCAGGCAGAAGAAGGUGGGAGAGGCCUACUUGCUGAGUCUUCCAGCCUUCGUCUUUCUCCCAUGAUGGAUGCUUCCUGCCUUUGAACAUCAGACUCCAAGUUCUUCGGCUUUUGGACUCUUGAACUUACACCAGUGGUUUGUCAGUGGCUUUCAAGCCUUCAGCGACAGACUGAAGGCUGCAUUGUCAGCUUCCCUACUUUUGAGGUUUGGGGACUCAGACUGGCUUCCUAGCUCUUCAGCUUGCAAAUGUCUUAUGCUGGGACUUCACUUUGUGAUUGUGUGAGUCAAUACUCCUUAAUAAACUCCCCUUCAUAUAUACAUCUAUCCAACUAGUUCUGUCCCUCUAGGGAACCCUGGCUAAUACACAUGUCUUAUAAAGAACUUUGGGUAUAAGUACAGACACAAGACACUGAGAAGAAUCAGAUAUGUUUUUGAAACAGUUAAGCUGUCAAAGAAACCAAGAAUUAGGAAAAAAAGAAAAUUAUGACUGUUCAAGACUUUUAAAUGACACUUGGGUCCCUCAUUUUACAGAGGUAACAUCUGUGCUACACUCAAGGAGAAAUACUCCUCAAUGCUCCAUUUAGAUGUGACCAUGAAGAAAAAUGGGGAGAAAAGAACAAGGCUCCAAAAAGUAAGAACUAAGACCCAAAGCCACAGUGGAUGAAGAAGCAAGAGCAGGGUCUACUCAAGGAAUCCUUCUUAUCCCAAGCUCAGGGUUCUCAGCCUUGGCUUUAUUGAACUUUUAGACUCAGUAAUUUUUUUGUUAAGGGAUGGGGGCUGUCCUGUGCGUUGCAAGUUGUUUAGCAGUAUCCCUUACUUCUACCCACUAGAUGCCAGUAGAUUCUCUUCCCCAGUUGUGACAAAAAGAAAUGUCUGGAGACAUUGCCAAAUGUCCCCUAAGGGACAAAAUUGUCCCUGGCUGGGAAUCACUGCUUUAGGUGAAAGGCAUCCCAUAAAGUCUGCCCAGGAGGAUUUCCGAAUUGCCAUGGACUAGUGACUGCUAUGUAUUUCCUAUCCUUCUCCCUUCUAAACAAGAAUGUUUAUUGUGAUUUCCCCUGUCUUAUUUUACAAUUGCAUAUUUGGUGUAGGGUGGAAGAACAGAUACUCAUCUAUUUUUAGUUCAUCUGAGAAUCUGUCAAUAUAUUCAUACCUAGAAACAUUUAAAUAUGCGUGCUGUACCAUAUUCUUAAUCAUCUAAUUUAUCCAGAAAUCCUGGACUUUGAAUUUGGUACAGUAACUGGCUGAGAUACUGAAUUGACUGUAUUCUGUGUGUGGAAGAGAGAAUAAAAUGGGUAUCUGGUAGCCAGAAAGAUGGAUUGAGGCAGAGACAAUGCCAUUCAAAAUUCUGUUUCACAGUCCUCCUUUCCGAGCUCGUGACAAUCACCCUUCCUAAGCUCCUUGCAGCUCAGGGGGACCAUGUGACUAGUUCUGACCAAGGAACUGUAAUUAGAAUGCUUCUUACAGAAGCAAGAAAUAAACCUCCAUUAGUUAAGCCACUGGGAUGUGGGGGCUGUUUGUUACUGCAGCAUGGCAUAGGCAGCUCAGAUGUCACCCCAUUGUGAAACCUGCCCUGACUCUCCAGCUCAGGGCCAGGUUCCCUGUAUGUGCUCCAUGCUUCCCCUAAUAUUACAUGUAUCAUGCUAUAUUGUACUUGCCUUUUUAUAUGUCUCUCUUGUUCGGAACAGGAAUCAUACUUAUCUACUGUAUGUGUAGCACAGAAUCUGGCACUUGAAUAUUUGUUGAAUGAACAGAUAAUGAUUACUAAUCUUAUAUUGUUGAGGUUCAAAUGCACUGAACAGAUUAUAGAAAGGUAGAGACAGCUGUUGUGACUGUUGAUAUCUCAUGGAAAUAGUAGGAGGGAAAAACCCUUGACUGGGCAAACACUACCCCAUUAAAGGUCGUGGCUGAUAACAAAUAUUUAAUUAUGUUCUCCAUUAAUCAUGGCAGAAUUCCAACCAGAACGUGGAGAAAAGUAGAAAACAAAAUAACUCCCAAACCAUUUUCAUCCCCAGCACUGUUCUAGAAAAUUCCGUAAGCUGAGUUCAGGCAAAUUUAAUUUUGAUGACUUUUCAAUUUCUGAGACAUGAAGGAGAGACUGAAAAUGUAGUGGGAGCAACAGUUUUCUCUACAGUAUUUUUUGAAAAGUCCAUGCCAGUAGUCUUACAGAAUGUCUUACAGUCUGGAAGUGUCUGAUUGUUACAUCAUGAUUGCAUUAAGAAACAUUUUAUUAAGUGUGGCUCACACCUAUAAUCACAACAGUUUGAGAGGCUAAGGCAGGAGAACCCCUUGAGCCCAGGAGUUUGAAACCAGCCUGGGAAACAUAGUGAGACCUUGUCUCUAUAAAAAGAGUAAAGCAGUCUUGCAACAGAGCAAGACCUUUCUCAAAAACACAAACAAAAAAAAUACCAAAUUCACUGAAAGGUUUUUUUUUUCAAAUAAUAAUAAAGGCAGAGGAGUAUUCAAGAUUAGAGAAAAUAAAGUAACAUGACAAUCAAAUGAAUGCAGCGUACGGUACAUGAUUGGGUCUGCAUCAGGAAAAAAAAAGCUAAAAAAGACAUUUUAGGAUGAUUGGAAAAAUUAAAAGUACACCAUCAAUUAGAUAACAGAUAAUAGACUGUUGUAUUAGUGUUAAAUACAUGACAAUAUGACAAUGUUAUUUUCAUUGUAUAAGAAAACGUCUUUGACUUUAGGAUGAUGGAUCUUAAACAUUUUUUGUUUUUCAGAGCCAGAGUCUCACUUCAUCCCCCAGGCUGGAAUGCAGUGUUACAAUCAUAGCUCACUGUAGCCUCGACCUCCUGGGUUCAAGUGAUCCUCUCACCUGAGCCUCCUAAGUAGCUGGGGCUACAGGCAUUUGCUACCACACCCCAAACUGGAUCUUAAACUUAAGCAUAUAUCACAAUCGCCUGAAGGGUUUAUCAAAACACAAAUUGUGUCCCUCCCCUAUACUAGCACCUUCUCCUUCAACUCUGUUUCUGAUUCAGUAGGUCUGGUCUGGGGCUCCAGAAUUUGCAUGAGCUCGAUCAGGUAUCCUCCCAUUAAGGUAGAGGAGCAUGUGGAGUGAUGCAAAGGGAAAUCCCUCAGCCAGCAACUGGCUGGAGGGCCGUCCAAAGGCAGCACUGUUGGCAGGGUGAUCACUUUUCCUGUUAUUGCCCUUUUCCAUAUGUAAUUUUAAAGAUUAUUAUGAAUUACUUUGAUAAUAAAUGAAAUGGAUACAAUUUUAAGAUUACAAUUUUUCCAAUUCAUGUUAUGGAGCAGCAUCUGAACCAGGCAGACCUAAUUACCAUCCUUCCAAGUCAAAAACUGGUGUCCAGCGUGAAUAGAUGUAUAGCAGAGCCUCUUCACAGUUGCUCUGGAGUGGGAACCGAUGCUAUCUGACAGGUUUCAAUGUCUUCCCAGAUCCUAGUGUGGUGCCUCCAGUGCUGAGGGAUGAAUGAGUUUAACUCUAAAUAGCUGCAUCUGCAAAACUUGAGAAGAUGGCAAAGCGCCAAAACAUGUAGCCAUCCUAAAGAGUGUCUAUAACAUCCAGGAUCUGAGACAUCACUCCAGCUGGAUAUGGCUCAGAAGAUGGCUUCAUGUGACAAGGUUAACCACUUCCCCCAGCCACUGGUUGCCUGAAACUCAAUUUGCCCAGAGACCUCAAAAGGCCUCAUGCUCAGGCCUGCCACCUGUCACAUCCAGGAGCCAAAACAAAGGAACAAGCAAACAAUUAUCAAGAGCGAAACCAGUUUUGUACAGAGGGAUUUUGCAACAGGAUAGUUUUGCCAUUUUCCAGAAGAUAGUUUCAUGAGUUAAGGGAAUCACUUCAGCCACAUCGAUUUUUAUAGUACAGGUUGCCAGAAUGUAUCCCUGAUUUUCUUUAAUAAUUUUAGAGAAUGUCACUUUUAAAAUUUUACUUAAUAUUAAAAAUGUUAAUCAUUAAAGAUUUGGAAAAUACUGAAAAGUAGAGAAAAGAACAUUUUAAUUGUUUCAUAUUACCCUGCUAAUUUUUAGUGGGUCUCUUUUCAGUGUUUUCUCUCGUAAGUAAUAUAAGUACUUAUUUUUUACAGAAUAUGAAUCAAAUUACAGACACUAUUUGGUACCCUGCCACUCUCAAACAUCUUUGCCACAUCAUUAAGGUUGAAAAUAUGAUUUUUGAUGGAUAGUUUAUGUUUCAUUAUAAGCAUAUGCCAUGAAUUAAGCAACCCCAAGCUUCUAUUAUUGAAUAUUUAAUUUAUUUUUAUAAUUUCCUAUUACACAUAAAACUGCAGUUAGCCUUCCUAAACAAAAGUCCCUGGUUUUUAUUGAGAAUAAAAACCUAAAAAUAAAGUCACUGGAUCAAAGGGGUAAGUAUUGUUUUAAGACUUUUAAUACCUAAUGUCAUAUUGUCCUCCAGAGAGUUUAUGUCAAUUUAUACCUCUGCCAGCAAGGAUUUGAUGCCAAAGCCCUAGUAAUAAUGUCCAUCUGCCUAGGGUCCCAUAUAUACAUCUGUCAUUCAGUAACAUGGGAUCCAAUAGGUGACUGGUUCAGGAUUUGAGGAUAUUGGUUUCCAGCCAUUAAUUUCUUUGUAUCAGGAAACAAGAUACAAAGAGACAAGACCACAAAUCAAGUGUUUAAAAUUUAUCAAUGUAAGUCGUUAUACUCGGUAUUAUGCAGUUUUCUCUUAUUUUUUAAAUCUCUGUUACUGUAGGUGUCUGUUUCUGUUUAUAGACAUAGUUUUUUGUUUAUUUGAAUUUUGUGUUUAUUUCUUAAAAUUUUAACCUGAAGUUUCAGUUCAAAAAUUUUAAUUCUUUAUAUAAUAAAUGACAUUUUUAAACAGAACCAUCUUUAGAGUAAAUUUAAAUUUUUUAUGUUUUUGGAAGAGAAGAACAAUUAGUGAGUUAAUAAAUUUUGUUUCUAAAACAA